AGAGCCAGACUCUGGGUAUCUGACGUCCACAUCGACAUAACCUGGGAAGAAAAAGCUCUGUAACUGUUCCUUGUGUCCUGUGUCUCACAAAAGGAUAGUAUAAAAAUUUGUGUUCUCGGGUCACAGAAGUAUCAGCACGAGGGGAAAUCUUGGAAAAGCAAGUGGUACUCAGCGCUCAGACCCCACCCCCUACCUUCAUCCAGAAGCUUCCUGUCGAGGAUGGCCGGCUUCAAUCCCAGCCACGCCUCACCUUCCCUUGGAAGGGAGCGAGUGGCAGCUGCUGAGAGGGAAAUAACUACAGCAGCCUGGCAGACGUAAUUUCAAGCAAGAACCAUUCUUCCAAACAAGUGACGUAAAGGUAAACUGUGUGUCAGCUGUUACGCGCUUACCGACGUGUGUUUGUAUGUAUGCGCACACAGACCCUUCAGGGUGGUGUGUCGAUGGGGAGGGGCUGGGCAGGGCGUUGGAACAAGUCUUUUCACUGAAUACCUUAUAUUGUUAGAUGUUUGAGCUGUGUGACUACAGUAUUUAAAAAAUUAAAGAUAGUGAAUAAAACCAAAUGAAUGGCGUCA